UGGUGGAGCAUGUGGUUUAAUUCGAAGCAACGCGAAGAACCUUACCAGGUCUUGACAUCCUUUGACCACUCGAGAGAUCGAGCUUUCCCUUCGGGGACAAAGUGACAGGUGGUGCAUGGUUGUCGUCAGCUCGUGUCGUGAGAUGUUGGGUUAAGUCCCGCAACGAGCGCAACCCUUAUUACUAGUUGCCAGCAUUCAGUUGGGCACUCUAGUGAGACUGCCGGUGACAAACCGGAGGAAGGUGGGGAUGACGUCAAAUCAUCAUGCCCCUUAUGACCUGGGCUACACACGUGCUACAAUGGAUGGUACAACGAGUCGCGAAGUCGUGAGGCCAAGCUAAUCUCUUAAAGCCAUUCUCAGUUCGGAUUGUAGGCUGCAACUCGCCUACNGAAGCCNNAAUCGC
rnacentral:rRNA from 1 species